CUCGCCUGGGCGCCGCAGAGGGGCCGCCCCGCCCUUCCCACUCCACUGUGCUCUGGAAGCGCCUCGGGCGCGUCUGCGGGGUCCUGGGGAAGCAGCGCCGACCCCACUCGCCCACCGCGCAGCGUCCAGGGAGAGUGGUCUCACAGGUCCACCCUGGAGCAUGCUGGAGAGGGCGUCAUGCUCAGGGUGGAGGCUGUUCCUGCGUGCUGUGAGUCAGAAGCGCCCUUGCACGUGUAGACCUGUGUCGGCUGCUGGAAGCCCCGAGAGGAAGGGCCGCCUCAAGAGAGUGUCCUUGGUGUCGCCAGGAGCAGCAGGCCACCUCCUGGGGCUGACACUGGCCGGGGCCUGCAUUUCUGAGGGCGGAGCAUGCUUUGACAUCCUGAAAAGGUUGCAACACCCAUCACAGAGAACCCCGAGAAGGGAGACUCUGCCACAGAGACCCCGUGUGUCCCACAGGGGCUGCGUCGUGUGCUCUCUGGCCCUUCAUGGAAGUCUUUCCCAGCACUGGUCCAGGAGUCCCGGUCCUACAUCCCCAGGAGCCAGCGGGAGGCUUGUGGUCACUGCAGCGGCUUCUGCACGGUGUGAGUGCCCCACGCCAGCCUGGGUGGCAGGAUGUGCCCCGCACCUCCAACACCCUCCUCCUCUCUGCCCUAGGUGGGGCGACCUCGCUCUGCAGACAGAGGAGGCCUCUCCUUUCCCCAUGCAGCCCUGAAGGGGAGGGGCUGGGGCAGGGAGGGGUGUGUAGGGUUGCCAGAUCCUGGGCUGGGGGGGUGGGGGCAGCCCCUGGCCUUGGGGGUGGGAUAUUGAGAGCUGGGUGGGUUCCGGAAGGGGCCCCGGGAGGCCCUUGGCAUCUCGUUUCCCUGGAGACGCACCCCAUCCUUCUCCCUGGGACUGGCAGGUGACUUUCUGAUGAUGCUCUCACUCUCUCGGUGGCUCUGAAUUUGUCACUGAGGUUCUGUGGGCAGCGAGUGUUUUUCCUGUUGGCCGCCAUCGCCUCUGGGCAAUACAGGGACCCUUGGUGAAGCUCCUGGCCCCUUCCAAAGCCGCCUGGCUCUCCUUGAACUGGAGGAGAGCAGGUUGCCGGGCCUUCCCUGAGGAAUGUGUUCCUGGUAGGUGGGGACACCACUGUCCCCAGGGGUGUUGGGUAGAGGGUCCUGGGGUGCCUCAGGGCAUGGUCAGGCCCCCCUGAACCCCCAUGCUCCUGGGCCAUCUGCCUGCUGGUUGUCCUCUGUGACCCCUCUCUCCCUUGAGCUGAGGCACUGGCCUGGUGCCCCGAGAAGGAACAGUGAGGAGGGCCGACUCUCCCUGCUGUGGGGGCCUUGGGGGCCUGGACGGGGACUGCAUCCUCCCUCCCCCGGCUGCCCAGCGCCCUCGCUCAGGGAAUGCUCUUCCAGCAGCCUGUUUCACAGAUGGGCAUGGUCACGACAGCAGCCAGACCCUGUCCUGGGCCGUGCAGCCACCUGGAUGGAUCGGCGCCCUCCUGGACUUACUGGCUCCAUUGAGGGUCCCAAAGGAGCUGCCCGCCCCCGAGCACCCUGGGGGACUCCAGACCCCUCAGGCCUUGGCAGCUACCAACAGCCCAGGCAGGACCCAGGGGCUUCUGGGCAAAGAGCAGCCACUCCCUGGCUCGUGAGCCCAGGGCCUCUCCAGCCGUCCCCUGUCGGGGAGCCUCCACUCCUGCUCUGGAUCAAGGUCCUGCCCCCAGGGAGAGCUGGUGCCUUCGGGGACCGGGCCCUGGUUGCAGUUGGAGAGUGCGCCCAGGUACUGCACUCCUCUUGGCUGCUGCCCUGCCUCCUGGGGGGCCUCCCCAGACCCCCAGCCUCUGGCCUAGGGGGUGUCUUGGUUUGGGAGUGCCCUGCCCUGGACACUGUGUCUGAGGAGGAUACAUGAUUGCCCUUUCUUGGGGUCCAGGCACAGGGUGAGGGGCACUCGGCCCCACCACCUAUGUCUCUGGGAGCCCUGGCUGGGUACAGCACCUCUUCAGAGAGAUCCUGUCUCGGGCCUGCCCCCCCAUGCAGCUUGGGGCCCCCGGUCAGUCACCUCCUAGCCACCACCUGCUGGUGUCCUAGCCUCAGCUGGGCCCUGCAAGCUUUCUGUGUGCCUGGGACACCCAGCCCCUCUGCAGGUGUUGUCAAACACCCCCACAGUAAUGCCUGGGGGCCUCUCUGGGCCUUUGUGUGCCAAGUUGGGGUGGGUGGUGGCGGGGGUCUUCCCAUAGUCGCCUGCUUCCUGUCCUCCUCGGCCCUUGGUUGGGGGGUACCCUGUCUGCUUGGUUUCCAGCCUGAGCCCCUCCCUGUGCUGGGCCAGUCCCCUAAGCUUCCCAGGCAGAUUCCCAGGUCCGCCUGGAGGAGCCCAGAGCCCUGGAGUGGAGCCCAGGCCUCCCUGCGCUAGGGACCACACCGGAACCCAGAGGGACUCCUGGCCAGGGUUCCCAGCAGUGACUGAGUGCUGGACUCAAUCCCUGGCUGUAGAUUUCAGGGAGUCCCGCUCUGAGGGGCUAUUGCUUCCCUUUCCUCUCCAGGCUCCCUCCCUCCCAGUUUCCUGGGAGAGUGGGGAUGGGGCUGUCAGAAGGCAGAAGGGAAGGUUGGGGUGCCAGGGGUGUGGCUGGGGUGAGGGAAGGUCAGCUGGGCUACCCCCGUCCCUGCCCUCCUUGGACUCAGUCCAGACACAUCCUCCAGAUUGGGGGCCUGUGCACCCUUCAUGUUCUCCUAGUAGUCUGGCGGGUCCUCCUGAGUCUUCCUCUGUGGCUGGGUCCGCAGGCCAUAAGCCCCAGCAGGGUGGGGGCCUGUGCUCUUGUUUUUGCUCCUACUUGCCCGGCCUCCCUGGGGAGGCCCCUGGCCAGGACCAUGCCGAUCACUUUCCCUGCUGCCUGCCUGCCUGGGUGGCCUCCAGCUCACUGCCCCGUGAGGCCUGUGACCUCCCGCCAGGGCAGGCCCCAGGAGCCUGGAUCCCCCCAGUUUGUCUUCCACCCUUGCCUCCCCACAUGUGUCCCUCCAGCCUGGGUAUCAUCUAGAGGGUUGGGGGAUGGGCACCCCUGGUUCACCUAGCCCAGCCCCAGGGUGGUUCUCCCGGUGGCCCUGCCAGGCAUGGGCUUGGGAGAGGAUGCGAUGGAGCCGCCACAAGGAGGGGGCAGGAGACUCCAGGUGACCCAGGGCAGGAGGGGGCACCCCAGAGGUUCCGAGUCCUGAGCACACCAUGGGCUGAGCCGACAGGUUGGGACCUCAGGGGGACCUGUCAUCCUGCCCACUGGCACUGGAUCUUUCUGGGCCUGGCUCUGCUGCCUCCCACCCCCAUUCAGCUAGUGGCUUCUAGAGGCUUCCAGAGCAUGCUUGGCCCCUUUGCCUCUAUGCCAUUGGGCCCAGUGGGAGCAGUAGAGUGUCUGGGGCUGGGGGUGGGACUAACACUCUCUGUGUCUUGCUUGCUCGUGUCUCCCAGUGAGUGGACGCCCUGAGCCUGGGGCCAGCAGCCCAGCCUCAAUCAGAAAUAAAAGUAACGAUUCUGCCUGA